AUUGAACGCUGGCGGCAUGCCUUACACAUGMAAGUCGAACGGUAACGCGGGGCAACCUGGCGACGAGUGGCGAACGGGURAGUAAUGCAUCGGAACGUGCCCAGUAGCGGGGGAUAACGCAGCGAAAGCUGUGCUAAUACCGCAUAUUCUCUACGGAGGAAAGAGGGGGAUCGCAAGACCUCUCACUAUUGGAGCGGCCGAUGUCUGAUUAGCUAGUUGGCGGGGUAAAAGCCCACCAAGGCGACGAUCAGUAGCUGGUUUGAGAGAACGACCAGCCACACUGGGACUGAGACACGGCCCAGACUCCUACGGGAGGCAGC
rnacentral:rRNA from 1 species